GCUUGUAAUAGAUUCAGAUUAAGUAUGCUAAUUAGAUAUGUGCGCAUAAAAAGUGCGCACAAAUCUCAGUGUGUAAUUUUAAAUUCUCAGUGUGUAAUUUCAAAUUCUCAGUGUGUGUUUUCAGUUUAUUUAUUCUCAGUGUGUCUUUUUGAAAUCUCAGUGUGUAAUUUUCAAUUCUCAGUGUGUAAUUUUCAAUUCUCAGUGUGCGUUUUUCAUUUUUGUAAUCUCAGUGCGUCUUUAUGAAAUCUCAGUGUGUAAUUUUUAAUUCUCAGUGUGUAAUUUUCAAUUCUCAGUGUGUAAUUUUCAAUUCUCAGUGUGCGUUUUGAAGUUUUUAAAUCUCAGUG
rnacentral:lncRNA from 1 species